CCUAAGUAGUGGGAUUUGUCUUUGAACUCCUGCUUCUCUUGUCUUAAUUUCCCAAGUUCAGGAAUUGUAGAUGUGAGCCACCACACCCCACUGUCCCUUCUGGAGACCCUGCCAUGCACGGACCACAUUCUCCAAGGUCCUGCCUACUGGCCCUGGGGCUGUGGACCCCCCCUGCCUGUGAGGCCUGCCAGCAUGCGACCCGUGUGAACACUGUGACUCUGUUUCUAGCCGCCUCUGGGCCUCCUGGCUCUCAGGCUCACACUGAGGUGGUGGUUCCCUGGAGGGCGCUCACAGACAGGGGGCCUUGUGGGGCUGCUGUUCUGCUGCUGUUGUUACUGGUGGCCCUAAGCGUCUGGGUGGCAUGUUCCCGAGGAGACCCAGGGCCACCAAUCCCCGGACAGGUAUCCUGGGGGGGACGAAGGGGAGGACGGGGGUCCCCAGACACUGCAGGUUUUGCCCGCUUAGGUGACCUCUUGAGCUGACACCUAGGUCCUGGACCCAGGAAAUGGUUUGAGAUUGGGAUGAAGAAAUCGUGGGGACUUUUUCCAACCCGGGCUUCCAGGAUUCCCCAAUGGGUGAGUCUUGCUGCCCGGAGCCGGGGCUUUCCUGCCCCGGGCCGAGGAAGGCAUGUUGACCUCCUCAGCCAGGACACAAGGACGUGUGUCUGGUGCCAUUGCUCCUGAGGAAGGGACAGUUCCUGAGGACCCUCCCUGGGUCAUGUGGUCCCUGUCCUCUCCACCACGCCCCUUUCUUUUCCCGGUAGUUAAUAACGGAAACUUCCAUGUUGCCUUGGAGAAGGUGAACGCCAAUGUGAGGGUGAGGCCACAAUGGAGGGGUUACUUAGCAACCCUCCCAAACCCUCCAUCUGCCUGGGACCAGGCGGUGACUUCCCUCAGCCAGCUCCUGUGUGUGGCUGAGCGUCCGUCUGUGACAGGUCCAUACCCAAAGGCUGAGGUGGCUUCCCCGCCAUCAUCCUGAGCCCCCAGGGGCCGCUUCAGCACUCCUCCACCCUACCCAGGCCUGCAGGACUGAGCCCAUUGUGCGAGAACUGGUUCCGGCGACAAGAUGUCCCAAGAUGAUAAAGAAAAUUGGGAGCCCCCCCUGGCCAUUUCGCAACAGCUGUUCAUUGUUUGAAGAGGCACUUCUCCCAGGAAGUUCCAUCUUCUGGUGCACCGGGGGCUGGAAGCGCUGCUCCUCCGUCUCCACCUCGAUGAAAUGCUGCUGCUGCUGCUGCUGUCUAUGGCUCCAGCCCAAGAGGACAAGGAGGAAUCCAUCCGGUGGGCCCAAGCGAGCGCAGAACCAACUCGCCGCCCUUCGCCGGUUGCUGAAUUUCUACGGGCAGGCAUGGGACUGUACUCAUGGAACCCCCGGCCGGCCAGAGCGCUGCCUGAGAGCAUCCUGCCAGGUGACAGGGCAGACCAGCGUAAUGCCCGAACCUUUCAGCUGUAACCUCUGAGCCUGGAGCCCUCAACCCCCUUUGCCAGGACAGGGAGUCAGCAAGUGUCUAGUUCCCCAUAUAAAUCCAAUAAAUCCGCUUACUAUAAACAAAA